rnacentral:rRNA from 1 species
GACGAACGCUGGCGGCGUGCUUAACACAUGCAAGUCGAACGAAGAGCGAUGGAAGCUUGCUUCUAUCAAUCUUAGUGGCGAACGGGUGAGUAACGCGUAAUCAACCUGCCCUUCAGAGGGGGACAACAGUUGGAAACGACUGCUAAUACCGCAUACGAUCUAAUCUCGGCAUCGAGGAUAGAUGAAAGGUGGCCUCUACAUGUAAGCUAUCACUGAAGGAGGGGAUUGCGUCUGAUUAGCUAGUUGGAGGGGUAACGGCCCACCAAGGCGAUGAUCAGUAGCCGGUCUGAGAGGAUGAACGGCCACAUUGGGACUGAGACACGGCCCAGACUCCUACGGGAGGCAGCAGUGGGGAAUCUUCCGCAAUGGACGAAAGUCUGACGGAGCAACGCCGCGUGAGUGAUGACGGCCUUCGGGUUGUAAAGCUCUGUUAAUCGGAACGAAAGGCCUUCUUGCGAAUAGUGAGAAGGAUUGACGGUACCGGAAUAGAAAGCCACGGCUAACUACGUG